GCUCGCUUAGCUCAGUUGGUCAGAGCGUGGUGCGCCGGAAGCGCCAAGGUCACAGGUUUGAUCCCUGUAGUGAGCA